rnacentral:misc_RNA from 1 species
GAUAAGCAAACAAAGGAGGAAGAAGAGUUGGCCAGGAAGGCUGAGGAAUUGAGAAAAGAAGAGGAAGCAGCCAUGUUGAAGGAACAGCGGCGAUUGGAGGAAAAGGCCAAAGCUAAAGAGGCAAUGGAGAGAAAGAAACGAAAUGCUGCAAAGGCUGAAGCCAGGGCUGCACUAAGAGCACUGAAGGAAGCUGAGCAGAAAGAGAAGGAAAGGGA